GACGAACCGUGCGAACGUUGUUCGGAUUCACUGGGCUUAAAGGGCGCGUAGGCGGAUCCCUCAGUCGGUGGUGAAAUCCUCCCGCUCAACGGGAGAACAGCCUCCGAUACUGGGGAUCUUGAGGGAGGUAGGGGCGGACGGAACUUCCGGUGGAGCGGUGAAAUGCGUAGAUAUCGGAAGGAACGCCGGUGGCGAAAGCGGUCCGCUGGAUCUCUACUGACGCUGAGGCGCGAAAGCCAGGGGAGCGAACGGG
rnacentral:rRNA from 1 species